UACAGAGGGGGCGAGCGUUGUUCGGAAUUACUGGGCGUAAAGGGCGCGUAGGCGGCCUGCUAAGUCAUACGUGAAAUCCCUCGGCUCAACCGGGGAACUGCGUGUGAUACUGGCGGGCUUGAAUUCGGGAGAGGGAUGCGGAAUUCCAGGUGUAGCGGUGAAAUGCGUAGAUAUCUGGAGGAACACCGGUGGCGAAGGCGGCAUCCUGGACCGAUAUUGACGCUGAUGCGCGAAAGCCAGGGGAGCAAACGGG
rnacentral:rRNA from 1 species